GUCAGAGUUGUGGCAACUGACAUUUAAUGUGGAUGUGACGGACCGUCCGUCAAUCGAUGCUCCUAGCGCUUACCAAGGACCAUCAGCACCUCAUCGGACACCAUAGCUACCUCAGACUCCACGAACCACCGUAGCUUGGUUGGGAUUUUGCCGUCUCCUUCCCACCCUGGUCCAACAUCUGGACCCAGGACCUCUCGUCCAGGAGGGUAUAGCUGUGGGACGUCUCCUCCAG